rnacentral:misc_RNA from 1 species
AAAAAACAUGGACACAAUCCCUUUCAAUGGGUGGUGCUUCAAAAUAUAACAUAACGAAGUUAAAGAAAAUAGAUGAGAGGGGGGAAAGACAACACAAGACAAUGUUUUCCCCCUUUAUAUUAAAAGACAAUGUUUUUUUGUUUAUGUGGUUAAGGCCAAAAGCUUGUCUCUCUCUUCUUCUCUAAUUAAUAAUUAACAUGAGAUAUAUCAGAGCCUGCCAUUCCCUUUUCUUGUGUGUAUCAUGAUUAUCUUUCUUAAACUGUAUAAUGCUGCUGGAUCGUUUCGAUAUCCAGACCUUUCAGCUUCACCACUGAUUCAACAUGACCCUUGAGUGUGUGCAACUCACGAAGCCUUGCCAUCUCUGCUCUUCUCUUUGCUUGUUCAGCAAUUUCAGACAGUUCCCGGUAGCUGUUCUUUUCGUUGAACAGGUUUGAUGCUUCUGGUGGUUGAAGUCCAUGUAAAGUUCUCUGAGCAAGUGCCCAUUGAGCUUCCCUUUCUUCUUUUCCAUAGUCUUUCUUUGUGGUGAAAGCAGUCUUGUUGUCAAGCAAG